AUGACCCAAAUUUGUCCAGUGCUGCAUGCCCUGAACUCCCCCGAGAUGGUGUCAUCAGUGAGGGGGUAUUCUUACUGCUAUUUUGAGGGGGACAUUUUCUCCCAGCCCUUCAUUGGCAAAGAUGCUUCAGAAGAGAUGCUGAAGAAACCUAGACCAGAGCUGGAUCCCACUGUCUAUGGCUCUGGGUUUCAAUCCACCGUGAGUGAUGCAUUGGUGAUGAGCCCCAGAGGCCCAGUCGUCUUCCCCCUGGGUCCCUGCUGCGACAGCUCCAGCACCUCUUCUCAGGUCACCCUGGCCUGUCUGAUCACCGGCUACUUUCCGGAACCCGUCACAGUACAGUGGUCCAAUCAUGGCUCUUCUCCUGCCAAGACCUUCCCUCCAGCUAAGGAUUCCAGUGGGCUCUACAGCGUGACCAGCCAGAUCUCUGUCCCAGCCACGGGUACACAGACCUACAGCUGCACAGUGGCUCACCAGUCAACCGGGUCCCGCAUCACCAAGCAACUCCAAGUCUGUCCUCCCAGGCCAGUCCAAAAACCCAAAGUCCAUGUGCUCCACUCGUCCUGCAGUGCCAAGAGUGGGGACACAAUUAACCUUGUGUGCUUCAUCACUGGCUUCUACCCCAAACAUCUGAUGGUGGAGUGGCUGGUGGAUGGUAGCACACGGUAUAUAACCCACACCACUGAUGACCCCAAGAAGGAUGAUGACAGCUAUACCUUCCACACCAUCAGCAACGCCAGUAUCUCCCAGGAUGAGUGGCUGGAAGGGAAGACCUACACAUGCAAAGUGAGCCACGUGGAGGCCACAGUAGAGGCCUAUGCCCGGAAGUGCUCAGGCUCAGAGAGCUGCCAACAAACUGACAUCCAAGUCUACCUGAAGCCCCCAAGCCCUGCAGACCUGUACACAGGUGAUUCACCCAAACUGACCUGCUUAGUGGACAAGCUGUCCAGCAAUGAGGGACUCCAUGUCCAGUGGUCCCGGAAGAACCAAAAGCCUGUCAACCCCAAACCUCUGGAGUUGGAAGAAAAGUUUGAUGGCUCCUUCACUGCCAAGAGCUUCCUGCCUAUCUCUGUUGCUGAUUGGACCAAUGAUGAGGAAUACACCUGCACGGUGACACACCCAGACCUCAUCUCCCCCAUCAUACAAAGCAUCCACAGGAAACCAGGUAAACGCUCUGCGCCUGGUAUCUACCUCUACCCGCCUCACGCUCAGGAGUUUUCCUCGAACAAGGAUUCUGUGUUCCUCACCUGCCUGGUUAAGAACUUUUACCCUGCGGACAUCUCAGUGCAGUGGAUGAAGAACCACAAUGAUAAGGUGAAUGAACACAACAUUGGUACCUUCGAGCCCAUGAAGGAUGCAUCUGGGGACUCAUCCUUCUUCCUCUACAGCAAGCUCACAGUUACUAAGGCCAGUUGGAACAGUGGAGACUCCUACACUUGCAUGGUUGUCCAUGAAGGCUUACCCAUGAAGUUCUCACAGCGCUCAGUCCAGAAAUCCCCUGGUAAUUGA